AGUGAACGCUGGCGGUAGGCCUAACACAUGCAAGUCGAACGGCAGCACAGUAAGAGCUUGCUCUUACGGGUGGCGAGUGGCGGACGGGUGAGGAAUACAUCGGAAUCUACUUUUUCGUGGGGGAUAACGUAGGGAAACUUACGCUAAUACCGCAUACGACCUACGGGUGAAAGCAGGGGAUCUUCGGACCUUGCGCGAUUGAAUGAGCCGAUGUCGGAUUAUCUAGUUGGCGGGGUAAAGGCCCACCAAGGCGACGAUCCGUAGCUGGUCUGAGAGGAUGAUCAGCGACACUGGAACUGAGACACGGUCCAGACUCCUACGGGAGGCAGCAGUGGGGAAUAUUGGACAAUGGGCGCAAGCCUGAUCCAGCCAUACCGCGUGGGUGAAGAAGGCCUUCGGGUUGUAAAGCCCUUUUGUUGGGAAAGAAAAGCAGCAGGUUAAUACCCCGCUGUUCUGACGGUACCCAAAGAAUAAGCACCGGCUAACUUCGUG
rnacentral:rRNA from 1 species